AUAGCCGCAGUAUACUGACYGUGCUAAGGUAGCAUAAUMAUUUGUCUUUUAAUUGUAGACCGGAAUGAACGAAGGGACAAUAUUAAAUCUAUUUCGAUCUGAGACCUAAAAAUUGAUAUUUGCUUCAAAAAGAGCAACUUUUCAAAAAGACGACAAGACCCUGUGAAACUUUUUAUUUACUGCAUUUAACUUAAUUUAGAACACCUCUUUCCGUGCGUGAAUUAAGUUGGGGCGACAUUUAAAUCAUCUUUAAUUAAAAAUAACAAAAAUUUUUGAACAUAUAGAUCUUACAUAUUAAGAAAUAGAACAAGUUACUUCAGGGAUAACAGCACAAUUUUUCCAUAUAGUUCUUAUAGAAGGAAAAGACUUGUGACCUCGAUGUUGAAUUGAAGUGCCUUAUUUAAGCAGAAAUAAAUAUAGGGAGUCUGUUCGACUUUUAAACCUUCA
rnacentral:rRNA from 1 species